GGCGGGGCGGGGGCACGGGGGGCCUACGGGAGGCAGCAGUAAGGAAUAUUGGUCAAUGGACGAAAGUCUGAACCAGCCAUCCCGCGUGCAGGAUGACUGCCCUAUGGGUUGUAAACUGCUUUUAGUAGAGAAGAAACGCAGUCAUUUAUGAUGCCUGACGUACCUACAGAUAGUUUCGUUU
rnacentral:rRNA from 1 species